AAUCCAGCUUAAUGGUGUCAAAACAAACUGCGUCUUUCAUAGUCACUGAUGGAAUCUGAUGAUUUAGCAUUCAUGAUUUAGAAAGCACUGGACACUUCUAAACAGGAAGAGUUUGGCUAAUUAUUUGGAUCUUGAAGAUUAUCCACUUUCUUGGGACAACAUGUCAAAAUUUUCCACAGCUGUUUUCUUACAGCCUUGAAAAAUCUCCAUGGAUGAAUAAGGAUUUGAAACAAAGAGAGC